rnacentral:rRNA from 1 species
GAGUUUGAUCCUGGCUCAGGAUGAACGCUGGCGGCGUGCCUAAUACAUGCAAGUCGAGCGAACAGAUAAGGAGCUUGCUCCUUUGACGUUAGCGGCGGACGGGUGAGUAACACGUGGGUAACCUACCUAUAAGACUGGAAUAACUCCGGGAAACCGGGGCUAAUGCCGGAUAAUAUUUAGAACCGCAUGGUUCUAAAGUGAAAGAUGGUUUUGCUAUCACUUAUAGAUGGACCCGCGCCGUAUUAGCUAGUUGGUGGGGUAAUGGCUUACCAAGGCAACGAUACGUAGCCGACCUGAGAGGGUGAUCGGCCACACUGGAACUGAGACACGGUCCAGACUCCUACGGGAGGCAGCAGUAGGGAAUCUUCCGCAAUGGGCGAAAGCCUGACGGAGCAACGCCGCGUGAGUGAUGAAGGUCUUCGGAUCGUAAAACUCUGUUAUUAGGGAAGAACAAAUGUGUAAGUAACUGUGCACGUCUUGACGGUACCUAAUCAGAAAGCCACGGCUAACUACGUGCCAGCAGCCGCG